UACGGGGGGGGCAAGCGUUGUUCGGAAUUACUGGGCGUAAAGGGCUCGUAGGUGGCCAACUAAGUCAGACGUGAAAUCCCUCGGCUUAACCGGGGAGCUGCGUCUGAUACUGGAUGGCUUGAGUGUGGGAGAGGGAUGCGGAAUUCCAGGUGUAGCGGUGAAAUGCGUAGAUAUCUGGAGGAACACCGGUGGCGAAGGCGGCAUCCUGGACCAUUACUGACACUGAAUAGCGAAAGCCAGGGGAGCAAACGGG
rnacentral:rRNA from 1 species